rnacentral:rRNA from 1 species
UACAGAGGUCUCAAGCGUUUGUUCGGAUUCAUUGGGCGUAAAGGGUGCGUAGGCGGCGCGGUAAGUCGGAUGUGAAAUCUCGGAGCUUAACUUCGAAACUGCAUUCGAUACUGCCGUGCUUUGAGGACUGGAGAGGAGACUGGAAUUUACGGUGUAGCGGUGAAAUGCGUAGAUAUCGUAAGGAAGACCAGUGGCGAAGGCGGGGUCUCUGGACAGUUCCUGACGCUGAGGCACGAAGGUCGGGGAGCAAACGGG